CACGUAGGCACCAAGCGUUGUCCGGAUUUAUUGGGCGUAAAGAGCUCGUAGGCGGUUCGGUAAGUCGGGUGUGAAACUUUGGGCUCAACCCAAGCCUGCACUCGAUACUGCUGUGACUGAGUCCGGUAGGGGAGUGGGGAAUUCCUGGUGUAGCGGUGGAAUGCGCAGAUAUCAGGAGGAACACCGGUGGCGAAGGCGGCUGCCAGAACGCACUCGACGGUGAGGGAUGAAAGCUGGGG
rnacentral:rRNA from 1 species